rnacentral:rRNA from 1 species
AGUGAACGCUGGCGGUAGGCCUAACACAUGCAAGUCGAACAGCAGCACAGUAAGAGCUUGCUCUUACGGGUGGCGAGUGGCGGACGGGUGAGGAAUACAUCGGAAUCUACUUUUUCGUGGGGGAUAACGUAGGGAAACUUACGCUAAUACCGCAUACGACCUACGGGUGAAAGCAGGGGAUCUUCGGACCUUGCGCGAUUGAAUGAGCCGAUGUCGGAUUAGCUAGUUGGCGGGGUAAAGGCCCACCAAGGCGACGAUCCGUAGCUGGUCUGAGAGGAUGAUCAGCCACACUGGAACUGAGACACGGUCCAGACUCCUACGGGAGGCAGCAGUGGGGAAUAUUGGACAAUGGGCGCAAGCCUGAUCCAGCCAUACCGCGUGGGUGAAGAAGGCCUUCGGGUUGUAAAGCCCUUUUGUUGGGAAAGAAAAGCAGCAGGUUAAUACCCCGCUGUUCUGACGGUACCCAAAGAAUAAGCACCGGCUAACCUCGUG